UACAGAGGUCUCAAGCGUUGUUCGGAUUCAUUGGGCGUAAAGGGUGCGUAGGCGGCGCGGUAAGUCGGGGUGUGAAAUUUCGAGGCUUAACUUCGAAACUGCAUUCGAUACUGCCGUGCUUGAGGACUGGAGAGGAGACUGGAAAUUUACGGUGUAGCGGUGAAAUGCGUAGAUAUCGUAAGGAAGACCAGUGGCGAAGGCGGGUCUCUGGACAGUUCCUGACACUGAGACACGAAGGCCCAGGGGGAGCAAAACGGGG
rnacentral:rRNA from 1 species